rnacentral:rRNA from 1 species
CCUACGGGAGGCAGCAGUGAGGAAUAUUGGUCAAUGGACGAGAGCCUGAACCAGCCAAGUAGCGUGAAGGAUGACUGCCCUCUGGGUUGUAAACUUCUUUUAUAUGGGAAUAAAGUGUUCCACGUGUGGGAUUUUGUAUGUACUUUAUGAAUAAGGAACGGCUAACUCCGUGCCAGCAGCCGCGGUAAUACGGAGGAUCCGAGCGUUAUCCGGAUUUAUUGGGUUUAAAGGGAGCGUAGGUGGAUUGUUAAGUCAGUUGUGAAAGUUUGCGGCUCAACCGUAAAAUUGCAGUUGAUACUGGCAGUCUUGAGUACAGUUGAGGUGGGCGGAAUUCGUGGUGUAGCGGUGAAAUGCUUAGAUAUCACGAAGAACUCCGAUUGCGAAGGCAGUUCACUGGACUGCAACUGACACUGAGGCUCGAAAGUGUGGGUAUCAAACAGGAUUAGAUACCCCAGUAGUC